CAGGAUGAACGCUAGCGGCAGGCUAACACAUGCAAGUCGAGGGCAGCGGGUCCAGCAAUGGAUGCCGGCGACCGGCGAAAGGGUGAGUAACGCGUGAGCAACAUGCCCGACACUGGGGGAUAGUCAUUGGAAACGAUGCGUAAUACCCCGUAACACAAGGGGCCGCGUGACCUUUUGUUGAAAGAUUCAUUGGUGUCGGAUUGGCUCGCGUGCCAUUAGGUAGACGGCGGGGUAACGGCCCACCGUGCCGACGAUGGCUAGGGGUUCUGAGAGGAAGGUCCCCCACAUUGGAACUGAGACACGGUCCAGACUCCUACGGGAGGCAGCAGUGAGGAAUAUUGGACAAUGGCCGGAAGGCUGAUCCAGCCAUGCCGCGUGCGGGAUGACGGCCCUAUGGGUUGUAAACCGCUUUUGCCGGGGAGCAAUAAGGCCCACGCGUGGGCCGACGUGAGUACCCGGCGAAUAAGCAUCGGCUAACUCCGUGCCAGCCGCCGC
rnacentral:rRNA from 1 species